rnacentral:rRNA from 1 species
UUUGAUCCUGGCUCAGAACGAACGCUGGCGGCAUGCUUAACACAUGCAAGUCGAACGAGAUCUUCGGNUCUAGUGGCGCACGGGUGCGUAACACGUGGGAAUCUACCUAAAGGUUCAGNAUAACAGUUAGAGAUGACUGCUAAUACUGGAUAAUGACUUCGGUCCAAAGAUUUAUUGCCUUUAGAUGAGCCCGCGCAAGNUUAGCUAGUUGGUGAGGUAAAAGCUCACCAAGGCGACGNUCUUUAGCUGGUCUGAGAGGAUGAUCAGCCACACUGGGACUGAGACACGGCCCAGNCUNCUACGGGAGGCAGCAGUGGGGAAUAUUGGACAAUGGGCGAAAGCCUGAUCCAGCAAUGCCGCGUGAGUGAUGAAGGCCUUAGGGUUGUAAAGCUCUUUUACUAGGGAUGAUAAUGACAGUACCUAGAGAAUAAGCUCCGGCUAACUCCGUGCCAGCAGCCGCGGUAAUAAGGG